rnacentral:rRNA from 1 species
AUUGAACGCUGGCGGCAGGCCUAACACAUGCAAGUCGAACGAGUGGCGGACGGGUGAGUAAUGUCUGGGAAACUGCCCGAUGGAGGGGGAUAACUACUGGAAUCGGUAGCUAAUACCGCAUACCAUCGGAUGUGCCCAGAUGGGUUUAGCUUGUAGGUGCGGUAACGGCUCACCUAGGCGACGAUCCCUAGCUGGUCUGAGAGUAUGACCAGCCAAACUGUAACUGAUGAACGGUCCAGACGCCGACGGGAGGCAGCAGUGGGGAAUAUUGCACAAUGGGUGCAAGCCUGAUGCAGCCAUGCCGCGUGUAUGAAGAAGGCCUUCGGGUUGUAAAGUACUGUCAGCGGGGAGGCGUUACCCGCAGAAGAAGAACCGGCUAACUCCGUGCCCGCAGCCGCGGUAAUAC